rnacentral:lncRNA from 1 species
CAUUUAAAAAAACAUAAAAGCUAGCAGUGCAGAAUAGAGCACUAUAUGUUAGAUGUGACUCGAAAUUGAUAAUCGACUUCAGUUCGGAAUUUCGACUCGCCGACAAUUUUACGGUACGAUCAAAUUGAAAAAUAAAAUUGUGAAGAAAAAAUGAAUAUAUGUGAUGGAUAGCGGAGGGCUCGGGCCGACAGGCCCAAAUCCGUAGAGGCGAUAGAUUGUGGUUCCUUGUACUUGAACAUUAUAUUUUUUUCUUUCUCGAUAGUAAAGUUCUCUCCUUCCUUGCCCGUUAUUUUUUUCUGCAAAUAAUUUUUCACGUAAAUUUGUGUUUCUCUUUUAUUUCUGCUUAUGGUUUGAUUAUAUUUCGUGUCUAGCAUUUUUGUUUCUGUUUGUGCGUUUGUCGUAACACUAUCGAAAUAGUACUAUCUCACUAACAAACUCUCAAAAUAAUAAUAUAUCGCUAAUUAAAUUACCUAUAAUCACUAAAACCCUUCACUAAUUAAACAAACUACAGCAGUAGCUACAACGAC